GACGUAGGUGGCGAACGUUAUCCGGAAUUAUUGGGCGUAAAGGGUGCGUAGGCGGCAUGAUAAGUUAUUGGCGGGAAAUCGAGGCUCAACCUCGUGGAAACUAAUAAUACUGUUUUGCUUGAGUACAGGAGAGGUUAACGGAACUCCAUGUGGAGCGGUAAAAUGUGUAGAUAUAUGGAAGAACAUCAAUAACGGCGAAGGCAGUUAACUAUUCUGUUACUGACGUUGAGGCAUGAAAGCUGGGGGAGCAAACCGG
rnacentral:rRNA from 1 species